GAUGAACGCUGGCGGCGUGCCUAAUACAUGCAAGUCGAGCGAAGCGGGGACGGGUGAGUAACACGUGGAUAACCUCCUAUAAGACUGGGAUAACUUCGGGAAACCGGAGCUAAACCGGAUACUUAUAGAUGGAUCCUCGCUGCAUUAGCUGGUUGGUAAGGUAACGGCUUACCAAGGCAACGAUGCAUAGCCGAACUGAGAGGUGGAUCGGCCACACUGGACCUGGGAGACGGUCCAAAACCCGACGGAGGGCAGCAGAAGGGAUUCUGCCGCAAGGGGCGAAAGCCUAACGGAGCAACGCCGGAUGAGUGAUGAAGGUCUGCGGAUCGUAAAACUCUGUUAUUAGGGAAGCGUGACCAAAGCAGAAAGCCCCGGCUAACUACGUGCCAGCAGCGGCGGUAAUA
rnacentral:rRNA from 1 species